rnacentral:misc_RNA from 1 species
UUUCCGUAGGUGAACCUGCGGAAGGAUCAUUAUUGUAUAACCGAGGUGCGAGGGCUGUCGCUGACCCGAAAGGUCGUGCACGCCCGAGUUCCCUCACACACAUCCAUCUCACCCCUAUUUGCACCACCGCGUGGUUCCCCCUUUGGCUUGUUCGCAGGGGGGCUUACGUUUUAAAACAAACUUUGUAUGCAGUGUAGAAUGUAUUUUUGGUUUUUGCGAUCACGCAACUAAUACAACUUUCAACAACGGAUCUCUUGGCUCUC